rnacentral:rRNA from 1 species
GACGAACGCUGGCGGCGUGCUUAACACAUGCAAGUCGAACGGUAAGGCCCUUUCGGGGGUCCACGAGUGGCGAACGGGUGAGUAACACGUGGGUGAUCUGCCCUGCACUUUGGGAUAAGCCUGUGAAACUGGGUCUAAUACCGGAUAGGACUACGCGAUGCAUGUCGUGUGGUGGAAAGCUUUUGCGGUGUGGGAUGGGCCCGCGACCUAUCAGCUUGUUGGUGGGGUGAUGGCCUACCAAGGCGACGACGGGUAGCCGGCCUGAGAGGGUGUCCGGCCACACUGGGACUGAGAUACGGCCCAGACUCCUACGGGAGGCAGCAGUGGGGAAUAUUGCACAAUGGGCGCAAGCCUGAUGCAGCGACGCCGCGUGGGGGAUGACGGCCUUCGGGUUGUAAACCCCUUUCAGCACAGACGAAGCGUAAGUGACGGUAUGUGCAGAAGAAGCACCGGCCAACUACGUG